UUGGUUUGUUUUUGAAACUGCGUCGUCAACGGAAUAAAACUACUUGCAGGAAUAUCCCGUGGAGUCCUUAUGGUUAACGGAGGUUAUAUCAGUUCCCUGACAGGACAGUCUUUUCGUUAGGGGACUUUGUCUCAGCUGAAACAAGUCAUUUACCCUCAUAUCAGCCUCCAAGUACUUUGUUUUAUUGCCCACUUCCGGGACAGACUCUCAGAAAUGUAAGCUGAGUAGACAAAGAGAACGGACAUCUCUUCGUUGUUUGGAUUGAACACUUGUCUCGAGAGAUUUUGCGCCUGACAAGGCUCAGAUAGAGAGUGGAAGUUUGAGGACACGUCUCCAAUCUAGAGCGAGUAGAGCUCGCUGGACCAUGGCGGAGCAGAAGGCACUGGCAUCGCCGGGUGGCUUGACCUGGUCGCGGGUGUGCAAAGAGUGUGGCCAGUGCCACGAGAACCAAGAAAGUCAUGUUUAUGAGUACCAGGAUGAGGUGGAUGAUGAGUUGGUGUGUCACAUAUGUCUACAGCCACUGCUCCAGCCUGUGGACACGCCAUGUGGACACACAUACUGUCUGCAGUGCUUGAGCAGCUUCUUGCGUGAACAGGACUUCUGCCCAGUGGACCGGCAACGAGUGACAUUGCAACAGUGUCGGUCCGCCAGCCUGCUGGUGCGCAACCUGCUCGAUAAGCUCACCGUGCUGUGCCCUUUCCACAAUGAGUGCCAGCAGAGCAUGCAGCGCUGUGAGCUACAGCCUCAUUUGCACAACAGAUGCCCUGCAUUCAGGCGGCUCAGGGAAGAGUCUGAGAAGAGGAAGAGACCCCCCUGGAAUGAAUUGAAGGGAAGCAAGACAGAUGAAGACUCUGACACCAAAUCCAACCCAGCACCCACACGUACAUCUAAUCCUCGUGCACCCCCGGACCCUGGCAUGGCCAAUCCUGCCUUUGAGGAGGCAGAUGAUGGAGCUCCCCUCAGGUCCAGUCUUGUUUCAGAAGCAAGCAUUGUGGAGCUGUUUCGUGAGGAACCAGGGGAAGAUUUGGGUUUGCGCAUAGUUGGAGGGAAGGACACACCCUUGGGGAAUAUUGUCAUUCAGGAGAUUGUGCGUGACUCGGUGGCUGCCCGUGAUUCCAGACUCGCCCCAGGGGAUCACAUUCUAGAGGCGAAUGAUGUGAGCCUUGCCUCUGUCCCUCAUGUACAAGCCAUCGCUGUGCUGCGGCGGCCAUGUUCUGUUCUCAGGCUUACAGUUAUGCAAGAGAAGGGCUUCAAGCCAAGGCCCGAGCACCACGUGCAGCCUUCUAACUCUCCUGUGGUUCAACCUUCAAACAGUCCGGGCACGGUGAUCCAGGUGGCACUGGUGAAACGUGAGCGCGCCGAGCCCCUCGGCAUCAAGCUUAUCCGCAAGUCAGAUGAACUAGGUGUCUUCAUCCUAGACCUGUUACCAGGAGGCCUGGCUGCCAAAGAUGGCAAACUGCGCAACAAUGACAAAGUUCUGGCCAUCAACGGCCAUGAUUUGAGACAUGGUACACCAGAGAGCGCCGCUCAGAUCAUCCAGGCAAGUGAAGUACGAGUGAAUUUUGUGGUAAUGAGGCAGCCAGAGCCCAUUGAAGAGGGAAGUGAGCUGCAGAGUAGAGGAGCCAGGAGAAGUGCCGAGAACCAGUAUUUCAGACGGCGCUCCACAUUCAUGAAGGAUCCUCCUGGUGGAUUCUCCAGUCAGGAAAAGACAGUGAGUCUGAAGAAAGAGCCACGACAUUCACUGGGCAUUACAAUUGCUGGUGGGAGGGACGGCCGCUGUCGUCUGCCUGUGUACAUUACCAGUGUGCAGCCAGUGGGCUGUCUGCACAGAGAUGGUACCAUCAAACCAGGUGAUGUGUUGCUGAGCAUCAAUGGUGUUGACCUGACCCAGCUGACUUAUAAUGAAGCGGUGUCUGUGCUGAAGACACAGACAGCCCAGAGCUCUGUGACGCUACGCGUCAUCCGCACCACUGCAGAGGAGGAAGAGCAGGAUGCAGAGGCAGCAAAUCAAGAAGAAAUGGACACAGUGGAGAACCCCAGAGAGGAUGAAAUCAACUGCUCCCCUCUGUGGACCCGCUGGCUGGGCCUACCCAGCCACAUGCACUGGUGUCGUGACAUCGUGUUGUUAAAAACCAACAACGAGAGCUGGGGCUUCAGUAUUGUGGGAGGAUAUGAAGAAAGUCGAGGUCAACAGCCCUUCUUCAUAAAGACCAUAGUGCCUGGAACUCCCGCCCACUCUGAUGGUCGUCUCAAGUGCGGUGAUGAAAUUGUGGCUGUGAAUGGAGCAACUACAGUGGGCAUGAACAAUUCAUCCCUGAUUCCUAUGCUGAAGCUUCAGAGGAAUAAAGUCACACUUACUGUAGUAUCCUGGCCUGGCAGUAUCGUAUAACAUCUGACUGUUCUUUCUGGUCUCUGAUGUGACCUUUUUGAAGCUGGUUUUGGCGAUUUUGAUAUCCAAUACGGAUCAAUAAUCACAGACUGGAUUUAAAACAAAAUCAAAGGAAUAUCAGGACACGUUUUCCUCCUUCCUUGUGGAACUGUGCUUAUUUGAGAUAUGUAGGAUACUUUUAAGCACAUGGACACUGGAAACUAUUUCUGCACCUUCAGUUUCUAAUUCGAGAUCAUCAACAAACAUUGAUAGUCAGUCUUAUUGAACAUUUACUUUCCUUGAGUAACAGCAAUCAUUUUCUUGUGUGUGUGUGUGUGUGUGUGUGUGUGUGUGUGUGUGUGUGUGUGUGUGUGUGUGUGUGUUGUGCUUAGGAACUUGCACCAAUGCUGUACUACUCCGAUGACUAUGUUCAGAAACUCUUGCUGGGCCUUUUAAAGUGUUAAGAGGACUUUUCUGUGAAAUCUAUCUGAUUGAGGGGGGGCACAGACACAGAACACACCACAGACCUUUUUUUAGGUGGAGACCAGGCUGCAUGAACAUAUUUCAGUGUCUGUUUCAAGGUUUGAACUUUUCAGUAACAUCAUGGACAGCAGGAAACAUAACCCUAAGUGAAAAAGUGAAAGUUGUGUUUCAAAUCAGUUUGUUAUUGUUUUUUAACAAUAUAUACAAGACUUGAAAUCAACACCCCAUCAAAUUACCCGUCUUUGAAAUCAAGAGAAACAUUUACAGGUGCUCUGCAGUAGAACGGUAAGAGAUUUGUCUCGCUCCAAAUAAUUAGGCAAAGUUUAGGUGUCUUUUAGUACAGCUUUCCCCAAACAUUCUGCUCAAUUCAAGAGGCACUCUAAUCCAACAGGCUGACAUAUAGAAAAAUGAAGAAAAACAAGGCAGGCGUAACAACAGAGAGUCUGCAUACACAUGAAAAAGGAGUGUGAAAGUCCACGUCUCUGCAUCUGUAUAACAGCAUAUGGACUUCACCAAAAACUGCAAUUUGCUGAUUUGAAGCUGAAAUGUACAAACGCAAGAGGAAAGAGACUACAAAACAAUACCUACAAGGUGGAAUUAACUUUGAAAUUGAUGAGAUAUAUACUACUUAAAUCUUGAUUGGCAAAAUCGUUUUUACACAUGACAUUAAAAAAAAAAAAAAACACACACACACCUCAGGGACAUUCAACUGAAAGCCUGAUGUCCUCGUGUGCUCAAGUGCAAUUUUCAGCCCUCACUUUGACUGGCAUGUUGUACAUACAUUUUAUGGCUUACUAGGUAAACGGGUCCAUAUAGACUGGAAAGUUACAGAGAUGCAGUUUAUAAACAAAACUAUGUUACAAUAAUAGAUUGGCAGAAAACUAAUUGCCAGCUAAAUUACAUAAUGUAAACAUGAAAUACUAGGCUGUACAUCUUGUCCAAAAUUAUAUUCAAAUGGUCUGUUUCUUUAACUUGCCCCUGUUUAGAGGCCCAUCACCAAAGUGCAAACGGAAAUAAAAAAAUCAUGCUGACAAACAUUUUAGCUACUUUAAAUUCCCUACCCAUUC